CCUCUUCAAGGCACCAAGAGCCCUUCAAAACACAUGACCUUCCUGCUCACAACAUAAAGACCAGUUCCCUCUGGCCUCUACAGUUUGGCUCAGCACCAGGGAACCUGUGUCCUCUCUGAGACCAAGGCACCACACCAGUGACAGGUUUCCUGAGGUGAAUGAAGUCAGAAGUGGCAUUCAGGAAGCUGUGAAUAUCUCCAGAUUAUCCAGGUGUUCUCACUGCAGCUGGAACAGAAUGGAAGUGAUGACAGAAGAAAGAUACCAGUCCAUUUCUCUCCCCCUGCCACCCCAACUCAAAUUCUGGUAAUUAGCUUCCUUUGCUAGCUUCCAUCCACAGCUCCAAUGGCUGAGCCAAAGUCUGAUCACAUGUAAGAGGCUCUGAAAAUCUCACCAAACACUUUCCAACAACCCUGUAAGGGCCACAUCCUCCAGGAAGAUCUCUGUCACGUGGAAGCCCCUGGCCUGGCCUCCCGCAGUGCCACGCUCCGUGUAUUUGACAAGCUGAGUUGGACACUCCGUGUGGUAGAGUGUCAGUUUGUCAAAUACCCCAAGUGUGGCACAUGCUUAGCAGCUCCACACCAGGGCAGAUGGAAUACAACAUAUUUGCUGCCAAGUGGAUGUAAGAAUGCUCAUUAAACAACAAGGUCUCCUAAUUUAUUUUUUUGUAACUUUGAGGGAACCCAAGCAAUGCAUCUGAGGGUUUCAGGGGGAAAGUGCAGCAUCUCUGGUAAUUACAGCCCUGGUUUUCGUCUACACACCUCAUGAGAAUGCCUAGGAGCACACAAUAGUCUUGAAAAGACAUAAGGGAUACAGGGAUAGAUGUGCUCUUUGAUUUGUUAUUCUCUUCUUUCUUCACAUUCCCCUUCCAGAGUGUCACAGUCAGGACACCAGAAUCAAAUACUACAGGUUAUAUGAGAAAGCUGGGCAUGGAAAUCCACUCUUUUUAUGUUCAUUCUUGUCUUCUAAACACAGACUGGCUUUUCUACCUCUUCCUUUUUUCCUCAAACCUCUUCUUGAAACAACUUCUCCAUUUCUCUUGGCCUAAUUCUUUCCCAUACUUCCUGGCCCCACCACAGUAUAGUCUCCCCAGGGACUUUUGAAAGUCAUCCCAUGCUUACCCUUCUUCGCUUGCACAGCACUCCUUGCCUGAGUCCUGUUAUAUGCCCCAAUAUCUCAUUCCACCCAAUAUAAUCUUUUGGAUCAUGAGUAAACUUUUCCAAGGCUUACUCUUGAAUUCCCCACUAUAUUUUGAGCUUCUAGAAGACAAGAAUAUAUCUCCUUGGUUGUUGUCUCCCCUACCAUAACCCCAUAUUUUGGUUACGGAAAAUAUUCAAUAAAUGUUUGCUGAUUGAUUGA